rnacentral:rRNA from 1 species
GACGUAGGGCGCGAGCGUUGUCCGGAUUUAUUGGGCGUAAAGAGCUCGUAGGCGGCUCAGUAAGUCGGGUGUGAAAACUCCAGGCUCAACCUGGAGACGCCACCUGAUACUGCUGUGGCUAGAGUCCGGUAGGGGAGCAUGGAAUUCCUGGUGUAGCGGUGAAAUGCGCAGAUAUCAAGUGGAACACCAGUGGCGAAGGCGAGUCCCUGGACAACUCCUGACACUGAGGCACGAAAGCUAGGGGAGCAAACAGG